rnacentral:rRNA from 1 species
GCUUGGCCCUAAACCUCAGUAGUUAGAUAACAAAACUACUCGCCAGAAUACUACGAGCAACAGCUUAAAACUCAAAGGACUUGACGGUGCUUUACAUCCCCCUAGAGGAGCCUGUUCCGUAAUCGAUAAACCCCGAUCCACCCCACCCUCUCUUGCUCAGCCUAUAUACCGCCAUCUUCAGCAAACCCUGAUGAAGGYUACAAAGUGAGCGCAAACGCCACUGCCGCGAAUACGUUAGGUCAAGGUGUAGCCCAUGAGACGGUAAAAAAUGGGCUACAUUUUCUAUUUCAGAAAACCCCACGAAAACYCUUAUGAAACUUAAGGGUCCAAGGAGGAUUUAGCAGUAAAUUAAGAAUAGAGUGCUUAAUUGAACCAGGCCAUAAAGCGCG